ensembl:lncRNA LINC00710 long intergenic non-protein coding RNA 710
GAUACGCCCCUUGGAUGCCUGCAGAGAAGCUCUGGGGCUUCAGUCAAUGACUCAGGGUAGCCACCGAACAUGAUGCUCGGGCAGUGGGUGCCACCUGGACUCCACUCUCCCCUCUCUCUGGGAUCAUAGAGUCCAAGGUGUUCUGUGGCCUCUCGGCCAAUCCCAGCAGCUCAGCGUGCAGAAGACCGAGGAGCCAUUGGAAUUCAACACAACACGAAAUAAUCAACAAAUUCGGGGAAUGUUAAUCUGACCAUCACCAGUUACAAAUGAUGUUUCAUGCUACCUUCUAUUCCUGCCUUCAUAAAUCAAGGUAAUUACUUGGCAAUCUGGCUAUGCCUUGUAAGGCAAAAGAGCUGUUCAUUUCUUGUGUCAAAUGGUGAACAGGGAGGGAGAGUAAAAUGGUAAAUAACCCUGCCUCCCAUCUGUGCCCAAUCAGCUCUAAAUCUCCAGGAAAAAAUGUGCUCAGGAUGGCCAGAGAAAUGUCCUUCCAACUGUGCAUGGAAAGGUAUGAUUUUGUGCAGCAGGUGAAGGACUGGUUAGAGUAAGUGUGUGCUGAGCUUUUGUGUUUGAAAGCGAGCCUGUGCACUUCUAACGAUUGGAAGGUUUCCUUGCCUUCUCCGAUCUUACACACAGCAAGGACAGCAAAGCCUUCCAGACCUGCCUGUGACAUGCACUGCACAUUCUAAAGAUGCCUAUGCAAUGGAAAACACCACUGUCUGCUCCAGCACAGCUGCCAUUCUUCCAUCUUAUCGACCUUAAUGCAACAACUCCUCACAGGCAGAGAUUUUAAAAUGUGUUCUUGGCAGAAGAGAGACUCAAAGAUGGGACAAAUGUGUCAUUUAAAUGCCUGUUAAAAUGGAAACAGACAUAGUAUAGUCAGAGGAUUGUGGCAGCUAAGAACAUAGUCUCUGGAGCAAAUCUGCAUGGGUGGCAAUGCCAAGCACAUGAGGUCCUAGUUGUAUGAACUUAGGAAAAGAAAAAGAGAACAUAUAUCCCCCUACCUUUUGAUUUCCAACAGUCUACUGAGAGGCCAAGAUUAUUUGCAGGGAAAGAAAAGGGGUCAAAAUGUUUUGCCAGUAACUCCCAAAUCAUCUACAGCCAAGGAGAAAAGUGUUUCAAGACAGAGGUGCUCAAUGGUAUCAAAUACUGCCAACAGACCAAGUAAUACAUGCAUUGAAGUGUCUACUGGAUCUAGCUAUAUAUGAAGAAACUGAGGCAGACAGAGGUGAAGAAACUUGCACAAGGUCAAAGAACAAAGAGUCACAUUAGCAGCUGGAUAUUCAGCUGUGAAGCUCAAGGAAGAAGUCAGGGCUGGAGAUAUAUGAAUGAGAACCAUCUGCAUAAAGAUGAUCUUUAAAAUCAUGGAGCUGGAUGAAAUCUCUCUCCACUCCUCCCCACAGGGGAAUGGAGCAAUGCCCAGGGCGCCCUGGGGCACCUCAACCUGCAGAGGCCAGUCAAGCUGGCAAGGAGUAACAGAAGACUGAUGAAGAAUGGCCAGCAAGAGAGGAGGGAAACCUGGAGGGCUUGAUGUCUCUACAAUGAAGAGAGCACUUCAUGGAGGAGGAAGUUGUCCCUAGGUUGAAUGCAGCUGAGGGACUAAUUAAGAUCACAGCUAAAUGGCCACUGGAUUUACCCAGAUGGAGAAGAAGAAGAAAAGCACCUACCUGGCAUGGAUGCCAUUCUUUAAGUACUUACAAUCCAUUCUCCCCUUACCCCGACUCCUACCUUUCUCCUUGCUGACAGAACAGGCCUCCCAU